CAUGUGUGUAAGUGGAAAAUAAGAUGAAGUUAAUAUUCUGAAGACCAAAUGAGCAAAUCCUCUCAGAAGAAGAGAGAAACCAGAAGUGUCAAAUCCUGGUGAUGGGCAGGUAUUAAGCAAGGGAUCAGGCAAUAUAAAGAUCAUUGGUCACGCCCUGAUGACUUGCCUGGAUUAUUGAAAUUAAAUCUGUCCCAGGUAGGGUUACCUUGAAAACAGACUCUGCAAUGGAGACAUAUGCACACAUUUUAUUGAGGAGGGCUUUCUAGAACAACACUUGUAAAAAAUAAUUGGGAGCAUGACCAGGGGGAGGGAGAAAGUUGGAAUGUGACUCAGUUGCAAGAAGCCUUUACCAACCAUCCAGGAAGUUUUAGACUGGGAUAACCCUUCAGAGACAAACUGAACUGAAGUUCGGGGGCCAGGUGUAAGCCUUGGGUGAGCGUCUUCCUCCAGCCAAGGGAAAUUCCUCACACCGACUCAUCUGGAAGCCAUCAGCCGCCAACCCUCUCAGCAACUUGUGAAAUGAGUGCUUUAUCCCUGAUGGAGAGUCUGCAUGAUGUUUCACAGGAUCCAAGAGAAGAUUUCCUGAAAUAAUGCUUACUAUUGCCUUUCAUGCAGAAGAAAUGUGUGUUCUAUGAAAGCUUUAACUGAUACCCAUUGCUGGCUUGUGCAGAUCACAGGGAGAAAGACGUGGGCAUGUAUCAGCCCUGUGCAGACAUCAAUUUUUAGCCAUCUCUUCAUAAAGGUUUCCGAAGACUAAUCCAUGUGUAUGCACGACUGCACAAAAACCUGUAUGCCAUAUCAUCUUUGUUAUUUUAUGUAAAAGAAACUGAGCUUCACUUCUGAACUACUAUGCAAGACACGGUAAAGAUGACUGAAAAAGUC